rnacentral:rRNA from 1 species
AUUGAACGCUGGCGGCAGGCCUAACACAUGCAAGUCGAACGAGUGGCGGACGGGUGAGUAAUGUCUGGGCAACUGCCUGAUGGAGGGGGAUAACUACUGGAAACGGUAUCUAAUACCGCAUACCAUCGGAUGUGCCCAGAUGGGAUUAGCUAGUAGGUGGGGUAACGGCUCACCUAGGCGGCGAUCCCUAGCUGGUCUGAGAGGAUGACCAGCCACACUGGAACUGAGACACGGGCCAGACUCCUACGGGAGGCAGCAGUGGGGAAUAUUGCACAAUGGGGUCAAGCCUGAUGCAGCCAUGCCGCGUGUAUGAAGAAGGCCUUCGGGUUGUAAAGUACGUUCAGCGGGGAGGCGUUACCCGAAGAAGAAGCACCGGCUAACUCCGUGCCAGCAGCCGCGGUAAUUC